UGUGUAGGCGGUCUGAUAAGUCAGUGGUGAAAGCCCCGGGCUUAACUCGGGAACGGCCACCGAUACUAUCGGACUUGAGGACAGAAGAGGAGGUUGGAACUUUCGGUGUAGCGGUAGAAUGCGUAGAUAUCGAAAGGAACGCCGAUAGCGAAGGCAAACCUCUGGGAUGUUUCUGACGCUGAAACACGAAAGCUGGGGGAGCAAACAGGAUUAGAUACCCUGGUAGUCCCAGCCCUAAACGAUGUACACUAGGUGUUGCUCGAAAGGGCAGUACCGAAGCUAACGCAUUAAGUGUACCGCCUGGGGACUACGGCCGCAAGGUUGAA
rnacentral:rRNA from 1 species